GGCAGGGUGGUGCUGAUGUGGAACUUGUGCACAUGACCGUUCUCAGCCUUGUGCUGGGCAGAUGGCACAGCCGUAGAAGCCCUUGCUGUGCUGCCAUGAGGACCAGAGUUCAAAACCCCGAUGCUCACAUAAAAAGCUGGGUGUGGUGGUGUGUACCUGUAAUCCCCAUGCAGGGGAGAAGGAGGUGGGAGGAGCCUGUGGGCUCAUGGACAGUCAGUCUAACCAAUGACUGAAUCCUGGGUUCCAUGAGGGACUGUACCUUAAAAAAGAGUGGAGUCAACCUCCAGCCUCUGCACACCCACACACACACAUCACACACAUCACAUACAUCACAUCACACGGC
rnacentral:lncRNA from 1 species